AGAUUUGGAAUCCCCACAUCGUAGGCUUCAAGGAUCAUCCCUCAAUUUCUUAAAUAGAGGUUUUGAGACACAGUCUAGGGGUCCAGAUAAACAGUAGAUAUUUCAAAUCGCAGAACAGAUUGUGCAGGGGUGAGCCUUUUAUAUUCCAGAAGGCCUGUUUACUUUCAGAUAUUUAUCUUUAGUCAUGUUUUGGUCUACUGGGGGCCUUGUCCCAGUUUUCAGACAGUUUUGUUUAGUUCAUAGUAGAGAUUUCGCAGACUGAGUCAG